AACCGUGUUCCUCUAAUAAAACCCGUCGAGUCGGAAGAGUCAACUCGGUUUGGAUGAACGACGAGUCAUGAUGAUGUUGAAGAGAAGGGAGAAAGUGGAAGAAGAGAGUGGAAAUUGCAAUGCCAAUGAGGAGGAACGGUGCUCGAUCUCGAAGCAUGUUCCUCGAUUUCUGAGGUGGAGAAUUGUGACGACUCGAUGAUGAAUCUGUGUUGCGAGGAUUAUCAGAAUUGAAGAUGGAGAGGGAAUUGCUCUGAUUUGUGAUGCAUGGAAAUUGGCUUUAUAAUCGUUCCAACGUGCGCGGAAUUGUCACGAGAGGCAAGGGGGAUUCUCAUGGAUCACUCAUCACUAUACUUUUGUUUCUACAAAAAAAUAUAUCUAUAUCCAUUAUAUACUAGUAUAUGCUUCUUGCAAGAUGCAGCCAUGGAUACUCCACCGUCAC